rnacentral:rRNA from 1 species
ACGUAGGUCACAAGCGUUGUCCGGAAUUACUGGGUGUAAAGGGAGCGCGGGCGGGAAAACAAGUUGGAAGUGAAAUCCAUGGGCUCAACCCAUGAACUGCUUUCAAAACUGUUUUUCUUGAGUAGUGCAGAGGUAGGCGGAAUUCCCGGUGUAGCGGUGGAAUGCGUAGAUAUCGGGAGGAACACCAGUGGCGAAGGCGGCCUACUGGGCACCAACUGACGCUGAGGCUCGAAAGUGUGGGUAGCAAACAG